ensembl:lncRNA HLA-L major histocompatibility complex, class I, L (pseudogene)
AGAUUCUCCCCAAACGCCAAGGAUGGGGGUCAUGGCUCCCCGAACCCUCCUCCUGCUGCUCUUGGGGGCCCUGGCCCUGACCGAGACCUGGGCCGCGACUCCGUGAGUCCGAGGAUGGAGCGGCGGGCGCCGUGGGUGGAGCAGGAGGGGCUGGAGUAUUGGGACCAGGAGACACGGAACGCCAAGGGCCACGCGCAGAUUUACCGAGUGAACCUGCGGACCCUGCUCCGCUAUUACAACCAGAGCGAGGCCGGUAUGAACAGUUCGCCUACGAUGGCAAGGAUUACAUCGCCCUGAACGAGGACCUGCACUCCUGGACCGCCGCGAACACAGCGGCUCAGAUCUCCCAGCACAAGUGGGAAGCGGACAAAUACUCAGAGCAGGUCAGGGCCUACCUGAGGGCAAGUGCAUGGAGUGGCUCCGCAGACACCUGGAGAACGGGAAGGAGACGCUGCAGCACGCGGAUCCCCCAAAGGCACAUGUGACCCAGCACCCCAUCUCUGACCAUGAGGCCACCCUGAGGUGCUGGGCCCUGGGCCUCUACCCUGCGGAGAUCACACUGACCUGGCAGCAGGAUGGGGAGGACCAGACCCAGGACACGGAGCUUGUGGAGACCAGGCCUGCAGGGGACGGAACCUUCCAGAAGUGGGUGGCUGUAGUGGUGCCUUCCGGAGAGGAGCAGAGAUACAUGUGCCAUGUGCAGCAUGAGGGGCUGCCAGAGCCCCUCACCCUGAGAUGGGAGCCGUCUUCUCAGCCCACCAUCCCCAUCGUGGGCAUCGUUGCUGGCCUGUUUCUCCUUGGAGCUGUGGUCACUGGAGCUGUGGUUGCUGCUGCGAUGUGGAGGAAGAAAAGCUCAGGCAGCAAUUGUGCUCAGUACUCUGAUGCAUCUCAUGAUACUUGUAAAGCUUGAGACAACUGCCUUGAGUGGGACUGAGAGAUACAAAAUUUCUUCAGGUCCUUCCUCUGACACACACCAUUGUAAUUUCAAGAGCUCCUGACUUCUAUAUCUGCACUUGACACGUGAAUAUAUCUAUGUGUCUGUGUUCCAGUUAGCAUAAUGUGAGGAAAUGGGCUACUGGUCCACCACUGCCACCAGGACCACCACCCCACACUAACCUGUCCUCUCUUCCCCGGUCAAGUUUUUUUUCAACAGAGGUGAGGCUGGGACAUUUCUAUUCAUGUCUUAACUUUUAAGUUUCACUGAGCUGCCACUUACUCCACUAUUCAAAAUAAGAACCUGGAUAUGAAUUUUUCAAAUUCUUGCCAUGAGGUUGGGUUGAUUGUUCAAUGAAAGGAGAGCAAGACUCUUAAAACUUGAGAGAGGAAGUAAAACCUGAGAGCCUUCCAGAAUCCAUUUUUGCUGUGCUGGGCCUGUUGUAGGUGGAGACAGGAGAGAGAGGGCUGUGAGGAGCUGAGUGUGGACAGCCUAUGCUCAGUUCAUCAUGGAAUUUGACGUGGUCAUUCAUUGGGUUGGUCAUCUUCACUGCUCCAUUGUUUGUGUCCCUUCAGUAGAACCUUGUUUCACCAGGACCUGUGAUCACAGGCACACAAACAUUGCCUGGGCCUUGUCCUGUCUCUAGGACCGUGGACAGCAAGGGCUUCAUGGGCUGGGUCAGUCUAUGGUCUGGCCCUAAUAUUUUGUAUCAUUAUUUUUGGUUUCUUUGUUUCUGUAGAGGACUAUGCCUGUUCCUGUUCUGGUGUCUGCGUUCUGAUCUCUUUCUCCCCUGGGUGUCCCUCAUCUCUGACAGCAGCAGGAGUCAUUUUUCCUGUCAUUAACCCCACAAGGUGGAAGGCAGCCCCUGCACACAGAAGUCUGUGGUAUUAAGAGAUGAAUUUUCAAGCCCGUGCAGCUUUUACCCUAUUUCCAGGGCUCUUUCUUGGAUUGUAUUUUCUAUCUUUUCCCCAACCUUUUUAAAGGAACUAGAUUCUGAAAUUAGCAGAGAAGAGGGAUGCCACAAGUUCUCAUCUUAGGUAACUUUCUAGUGGAACUCCUCUUCUGCUCAGCUCUCCUACCCACUCUCCCUUCCCUGAGUUGUAGUAAUCCUAGCACUGGCUCUAAUGCAAACUCAUGGAUCUAUAAAGCAAAGUCUAACUUAGAUUUAUAUUUGUUUGGAAAUUGGGAUUCAUAGUCAAAGAUUGUUCUUUCCUAAGAGGGAAAUAUAAUUGCAUGCUGCAGUGUGCAGAGGGUUGGUGUGAAGGAGGGAUGCAGGGAGGAAGGGAGGGAGGACACACAAGCAGCACUGCUGGGAAAAGCACAGGCGGCCUGGAUGUCAGUGUGAGGGGACCUUGUGCUGUCGUUGCUGCAAAACCGCAUUUGGCCUGAGGCUAUGUUAAUAAAGAUACUGCCUUUAGAA